rnacentral:rRNA from 1 species
AAUGAACGUUGGCGGCGUGGAUUAGGCAUGCAAGUCGUACGGGUCGGUGUAGCAAUACAACGGCAAGUGGCGAAAGGGAGAGUAACGCGUAGAUACCUACCCUCUGGUCGGGGAUACCGCGGCAUAACCGCAAGUAAUACCCGAUAAUAUCUCCGGAUCAAAGGUGUGAUUCCGCCGGAGGAGGGGUCUGCGUUUCAUCAGCUUGUUGGUGAGGUAACGGCUCACCAAGGCUAAGACGAAUACGGGGUGUGAGAGCAUGCCCCCGCUCACUGGGACUGAGACACUGCCCAGACACCUACGGGUGGCUGCAGUCGAGAAUCUUCGGCAAUGGGCGCAAGCCUGACCGAGCGACGCCGCGUGCGGGAUGAAGGCCUUCGGGUUGUAAACCGCUGUCGAGGGGGAUAAAGUGCAGGUGGGUUCUCCCAUUUGCUUGAUAGAUCCCUGGAGGAAGCAUGGGCUAAGUUCGUGCCAGCCGCCGCUGUAAGAC